rnacentral:rRNA from 1 species
AUGCUUCUACUUUCUGUGUGGAGCUGGGAGCGUCUUCCUGUUGGACGCCCGAAGAGCGUCAGGUUUAAUCCUUGGUAUGAAGAUGAAGAUGACGAAUUACGGCGCCCCACUUGGGCUUACAAGUGGGAUGUGGUUUCCGAGAUGACGAACGAUGUCAAUCUCAUGUACUAG